rnacentral:sRNA from 1 species
UUGUGACGCCUGCCAGCCGCAGGCUGGGUCCCCGAGGCGGGCGGCAUUUAGGCUCGGUCUCCACAGCCAUGGCCGCGACGCAGGAGCUGCUGCUGCAGUUGCAGAAGGAUAACCGAGAUGGUCGCCAGCGGAAGCAGGAGCUAGAGAAGCUGAUACGCGGGCUCGAGGCCGAGAGCGAGAGCCUCAACCAGCGCCUGCAGGACCUAAGCGAGCGGGAGCGGAGGUGCGCGGGGAACGCCGCUCUACCUGGCGGGCGCGCGAGGGUCGGUCCCGCAGGCAGCGCCGCGAGGUGCUUCGCAGAGUACCAGGCUGAUCCGCCCGGGCCCGCAUCUCUGCUCUAGGACCUUGGGAAUGGGUGAUCCACCCAGCGGACCCAGCCUGCUGCGGAGGCGAAGCCAGGCAGCGCAGCCUCUGCAAAGGGAGGCGCGCGAGGCGGCGCGGGAGCGCGCGGAGCGGGUGCGCAGAAGACUGGAGGAGGCGGAGCGCCACAAGGAGGACUUGGUGAGGAAGAGUCCUGGAAUGGGGCUGGACCCAGGGUGGGGUGGGGCAGGGCGGGCGGAAGGGGGCCGGAUCCGGGGGUGGGGUGAGGUAGGACCGGCGGAGAGGUCGGCACCGCCCCAGGACCCUGUCCGCAGGAGCAGCACAGCAGGCAGCUGCAGGAGCAGUGGGAGGAGCUGUCGAGUCAGGUACGUGCAGGAGAUGGGAGGCCUGUCUCUUGGUUCCUCUCGAAGUCCUGCCCUUGUCCUCGCCCUUGUUGCCUCCCUGUCCCUGUCUCCCCUGACACCCGUUCCUCCAGAAGCCCGGUAAACCCCGCCCUUACGAGCCCCGCCCCUAGCUCUUCUACUACGGAGGAGAACCGCAGAGCCAGAAGAGCACGGAGCAGCAACUCGCAGCCCAGUUGGUGACGCUGCAGAAUGAACUGGAGCUGGCGGAGACCAAAUGCGCCUUGCAGGAGGAGAAGCUGCAGCAGGGCGCGCUGCAGACAGCGGAGGCCUGGGCCAUAUUCCAGGAGCAGACCGUAGUCCUGCAGGUGCGGCCCCACUCAGACGCCAAGGUGCCUCCCGCCUCUCCUCCCCCAGACCUGGGGCGGUGUGACGGGCAGCUUCGCGGAGUGCAGUACAGCACCGAGUCGCUCAUGGAGGAGAUGGCCAGGGCGGACCGAGAGACGCGGCUGUUCGGCGGUCCUCGCGCGCUGGCCAUCAGGCGGUGCGUGCUGGGCGCGCUGCAGGUGCUGCUGACGCUGCCGCUCCUCUUCCUGGGGCUGUCGCUGCUCUGGACGGUGCUGUUGGACCCCGGCGCCGUCUCCGCGUGGCUCUGGAGCCUCACCUCGGAGACGACGCUGCGCCGCCUGCGCUACACGCUGUCCCCGCUGCUGGAGCUGCGCGCUAACGGGCUGCUGCCAACCUAAGUGCAGCGCCCCGCGCCUGGCUCCAGGUGGACGCCAGGGCACCUGGCUUUAUUUCUGGUGCACUCCUCUCCUGAGAGUGUAGACCAAGGUCGCCUAAUAAACUCCUCAAGGGAUG